GUGGCCUAGGCUAGAGACAUGUCUUUGGGAUGCAAGGCCGACUUGAUCUGGGGUAAAUAAAAAAUGUAAAUUACUCCUAUUGAUGCUGGCCGACUUGCAAGUGCAUAGCAGUAUACAACACUGUUGCUCCACCAAUAGUUCUGAUUCUAUCUGGCCACAGGGACUCUAGCUCUCGCAGAGCGUAUUUCUUGCAAUUGGCAGGGACUCUAGCUCUCUCAGAGCUCUUGUUUUUCUACGUUCCACUUGGUUGAAUCAUCCAAGAAAGAGAAGACAAAAAAAGGGCAUUUACAUCUGCUUCGCGACAAUAAAAAGGAUCGAUUGUAGGCCGGGAGCAUCCAUGCCAAGGGAAAAAAAAGCCCCAAAAUAAUGCAUCCAAAUUUGGUCAUCUACGAAACUGUGGCAAUGCUUCCUUUCUGAACUGCUACUCCUCUUUUUAUAUAUCCUUGAAACCCAUUACCCUUUUCCAUCUUCAUAUUCAUAUUGAUCUCAGUUGCAAUCCAAGGA